GUUUUGAUAGCUUAAUUAGAAAGCAAGGCAUUGAAGCGGCUUAGUUGGCAGUGUAUGCCUCAAGGCA
rnacentral:tRNA from 1 species